CCACGCUGUAAACGAUGGAUGCUAGAUGUCGGGGAGUAUUCUUCGGUGUCGUAGUUAACGCGUUAAGCAUCCCGCCUGGGGAGUACGGUCGCAAGGCUGAAACUCAAAGAAAUUGACGGGGGCCCGCACAAGCGGUGGAGUAUGUGGUUUAAUUCGAUGCAACGCGAAGAACCUUACCUAGGUUUGACAUCUACGGAAGCCUUCUGAAAGGAAGGCGUGCCCUUCGGGGAGCCGUAAGACAGGUGCUGCAUGGCUGU
rnacentral:rRNA from 1 species